AGCCGAAACGUGACUACGUCUCUCAGUGGUGGUCUCCUGAGACUGAUGAUGGCAGCCUCGA
rnacentral:hammerhead_ribozyme from 1 species